rnacentral:rRNA from 1 species
UACGGGGGGGGGCAAGCGUUGUCCGGAAUCAUUGGGCGUAAAGCGCGUGUAGGCGGCUCGGUAAGUCCGCUCUGAAAGUCCAGGGCUCAACCCUGGGAUGCGGGUGGAUACUGCCGGGCUCGAGUCCGGAAGAGGCGAGUGGAAUUCCCGGUGUAGCGGUGAAAUGCGCAGAUAUCGGGAGGAACACCGAUGGCGAAGGCGGCAGCUGGCCUG